rnacentral:ncRNA from 1 species
GAUUUUCAACGGCACUUUUAAAUAAGGAGGACAUCAUGCCAUUAGUACAAGGUAAAACAGAUUAAAUAAUUUGGCACGAUGUCAGCUCACGGACAAGUGUACAAAUUCACACCACUUGUCCGAAUGCUUAAACUUAGAACCUAGCAUUCGCUAGGUUUUUUUAUGCCUAUUCGGAC